CCCUUAGAUGUCCUGGGCCGCACGCGCGCUACACUGAUGCAUGCAACGAGUUUAUAACCUUGGCCUGAAAGGUCUGGGUAAUCUUUUGAACGUGCAUCGUGAUAGGGAUAGAUUAUUGCAAUUGUUAAUCUUGAACGAGGAAUUCCUAGUAAACGCGAGUCAUCAGCUCGCAUUGAUUACGUCCCUGCCCUUUGUACACACCGCCCGUCGCACCUACCGACUGAAUGGUUCGGUGAAGAUCUCGGACUUCGAUAUUUAUUCUUUAUUGAGUUUAUAUUGUGGGAAGUUAUCUAAACCUCAUCAUUUAGAGGAAGGUGAAGUCGUAACA
rnacentral:rRNA from 1 species